rnacentral:lncRNA from 1 species
CGGUGUGCAUCUUAGGAGCCGGUUAGUUAGGUUCGCCUUGUUGUUUGCCGAUUUGUGCUCCGCGUGGGGCUCAUCAUAUAAGUCCCCGGAAGCGUGACUUGAUGAGGUCAUUGUUGGCACUGAGUUCGUUGUUUAGUUUUCCCCCCUUCACCCGUCGCUACCGAGCCGUUGAGUCCCACCUGUAGUCGUCGGCAUGUGGCAGCGUCGUUGGCAAGAAGGGAUAGAUAGGGAGAGUAACCUUCAAUGUGUGGCGUGUGCCAACUUGGCUUCCUCGCAGGAUGUCCGGUGCUGGUACCGAUCGCUUGCCACACGCGCUUCCUUUCUGCGCGGAUGGGAGUUACAAGUUGGGACUGCAGCCAAUGCUCGUGCACGAUGUUGAAUUCCCGUACGUGCCCGAGGUGAGUUUUAUGUGAUGUGAUGUCAUUUAUUCGUCCUGGAUACACGCUCGCUGUUGCUUCUGCCUUGAUGUGCGUUGUUUCCUUGCCGUGGCCGCCCUCGGAUUCCUAGAUCGUGGUGAGUUCCUUUAGUCCCACUCGCUUGUGUGAGGACAUUGCGACCACCGUAAAACAGUUCGGCCGUCAGAUCCGCUGGCCUCUUACAUGGGUACCAGUCCUUCCCUGCCUGCCAAGGCACCAACGUGGUUGAUGCCUUGGCGGGCGGGGAAGAACAGUUGCCACAACAGCCGAUUUUUUUUCUUUUACCUUGCUAGCAUCUUCUCUGUCCCUUGGAGAGCACCGUUUUUUGGCAUUUUGGAUGUAGAUAUGGUUGGAGUAGGUGUCAAGCACGCGGGGACACGGUGUGGUCUCUGCCUUUCGUGGCCUUUUUCCUUUUCUUUUCUUGCACCGUCCUCCCCUUCUUUUUGGGAUGGUUUAGGAUCUUGUGUAGUCGUGACGGUCAUGUGGUCAUCGUUCUGGAAGCGAGUUUCAGAACUGUCAUGCAACACCAGAGAUGGGCGGCGCCGAUUCCCCUGUUUUCUUGUCGACGUGGUGGUGUUCUUAGAGGAGGAAGAAGACACAGGGCGUGGGCGGGCCAGGGAGGGGUCGAGCGAGACAUCGCCUUUUUGCGAGAAAAUGUCUUUACGAAAUGUCGUAUUGAAUGUACAGAUUAUAGUGUCUUUAUGAAAUGUCUAAAACAAUAGAUGCAUUUUAUUAGUGUCUCAUCACACAUAGCG